rnacentral:lncRNA from 1 species
GUAAACCCAUUCAUGUGCGUCCCACACACUCCAGCGUGCACUUCUUCAAGCAAUUUUGUGGCUUCUACAGCAUCCACACAUCUCAGUAAUCCCAGAUCGGGUGUCCUCUUAUAAAGAACCUCUCCAUUCAAAAAGAAGUUGUUUGCCAUUCUUCGGAUUGUUUUCUUCUGAAUACUUGUUGCUUUUUCUGGAUAUUCGCC